rnacentral:rRNA from 1 species
UGGGGAAUCUUGGACAAUGGGCGCAAGCCUGAUCCAGCCAUGCCGCGUGGAUGAUGAAGGCCUUAGGGUUGUAAAAUCUUUUCGCCGAGGACGAUAAUGACGGUACUCGGAGAAGAAGCUCCGGCUAACUUCGUGCCAGCAGCCGCGGUAAUACGAAGGGGGCUAGCGUUGUUCGGAUUUACUGGGCGUAAAGCGCGUGUAGGCGGGUCGUUAAGUUGGGGGUGAAAUCCCGAGGCUCAACCUCGGAACUGCCUUCAAAACUGGCGACCUGGACCUAAGUAGAGGCAAGUGGAAUUGCGAGUGUAGAGGUGAAAUUCGUAGAUAUUCGCAGGAACACCAGUGGCGAAGGCGACUUGCUGGACUUAUGGUGACGCUGAGACGCGAAAGCGUGGGGAGCAAACAGGAUUAGAUACCCACGUAGUCCCUGAGCGGGCUGGCAAGGCGCAU